UUUUUUUCCAGUAGAAACAUUUUAUUUCUAACAACAUUUACUUAAAAACAAAAUUCUUGUAUUCUUCAUGUAGGGUCAGUAUUCAAUUGCACAAAAAUAUGCAGCCAACUUAAGAACUAUAUAUAAGAUUAAGACACCUGGUAUUUCAUGGUAAAUGAUUAAAUUAACUAACACAGUUAUAUCCUGAACUUUGCCAUUAGGAAUGACAAUUUUGUUCGAUAUGCAUUGAGGAUUGUGGGUAAUCUAAACUGGUAUGAGCUUUUUCUCUUUGAAACUCAAACAGAAUUAAGGAACAGCAUUCUCUGCAAACAGAAUAUGGAGUUUGAGAACAGCCACAAAAAAUUCUCUUGUAGUAAGCUGAACUGCCCUAGGAGUACUCAGGAAUUAGACAACUCAGGAAUUAGAGAAUUAGAGAACUGGAGAAAUGAGGGGGCGUGGAUAGUAGGGAGAGAAAAAUUGAUUAAUUGAUUUACUAUAUUUUUCAAAUAGAAGUAUCUGGGAAAAUAAGACAAAACAAGCAGAGUUGUUUCUUUUUCACAGUGAAGCCCCAGAGGGGUGAAAGCUUUGUUCUCCCUGGGUAGCAAGCUCUUUUUCCACAUUUCCGACUGCAUAUUCCAUAUUUAUGAUGAUUUUUGGUCUCUCUGUUCCUGGCUUGCUAGGUGGCAAGGGCAGUUAGAGAAAAAAGGCAGAUUUAUGAAACACAGAAAAAUUUCUGACUGAAAUCAGGCUUGGAUUUGUGAAUCACUGUUUUUUCCCCCUGUGGUCACUCCUGUGAUGAGGUCAACUGCUUCAAUCCUUUAGGUUUUGUAGACAGGUUUCCGGAUUCCAGGAGUCCCAGAAGGUCCAGGGAGCGCUCCCCACAUUUUAGCCAGAAGUAAUUAACUAAAACAUAAAGGCCCCACUUUCUCUUUUCACACUUUGAGCCACAGAUCAUCUAAUUCCUAGCUUGAGACAUCAGAUUUCAGAUCAUUAGUGCAAAGCAUCUUCCACAGGAGGCAAUAAAAUGUCACUUUAUGUAACUCAGCUACAGUUACACUGCCUUCAGAAAGCAGGAAUCUCCCUGAAAACAAAUUUACAUGAAAACAGUCCCAUUGUUUGAGAAUUUAUGCAAAUGUUGCACAAAGGGGUUUGAUAGUGAUUUUAAAAACUUAAAUCUUUAUCACUGCCUCAAAGAUAUCCUGAGAAACUUGGUUACCUCUAAAGAAUUCCAUUGCACUUAUUUUUUAAAAUGCCUAUAAUAUAGAGUUGUUUUAAAAAUUUUCCCUAAACUCUAAACUUCUUUCUCAGCUUCAAAGCCUUCCGUAAUGAAUAUCCUAAAGAGAGCCUAGUGCAUAUUGGUUUAACACUUACUAGGAUCACUCAUUACUAGUUAAGAAAAUUGAAGAUAACAACCAUAGCACCAAGUAUUUUGAACAACAUAAAAUGUUUCUCCCGUGGGUGUAGCUCUUAGGGACCGCAUGGGGAUACACACCCCUCAGUGCUCAAUCAGCAAAAGAUGAAGCUGUAAGUGUCUCAAUCCAUGUUGAUUGACUCUGAACUCCCCAGUGUUAGGAAUCUGGAUGUGUCCAUUACUGCAUGUUCAAACAAUGAACUGCCUGCACCAGAAAUCUGAUUUCUGUAGAAAGACAUUAAGGGGCUGGGUGAGGAAUAGGGUGUCAACCAAACGUUGUGAUAUUUUCCUUUGAUUUUCACUUUCUUUAAAUUCUUUUCCAUUUACUACCUAGUGACUGUCUGGCAUUGGUACCCUCAGUUUCUUUUCUUCUGCUUUUCCUCCUAAUUCAGUGUGGAAGAUGAUCAAAGUAUGACAUUUCUUCUACCCCAGAGGCUGGCAUUUCUGCAGGCACAAAUGAGCUUGGUUUUCAAGCACUGCUCUUUGAACACAAGGAAUUCCUUUAAUGAUCACGCCGGACUAUAUAGACUUUGGAAUCAGACUCUUUGAAUUCCAGCUCUGCCAUUUACCAACUUUGACACUUUGGACAACGUCUCAUUCUGUCACCCAGGCUGGAGUGCAAUGGCACAAUUAUAGCUCACUGCAGCCUCAAACACCUGGGCUCAAGCAAUCCUUCCACCUCUGCCUCCUGAGUAAUUGGGACUACAGGCAUGUGCCACCACACCCAGCUAAUUUUUAAUUUUUAAUUUUUUUGUAGAGAUGGCGGUCUUGCUAUGUCACCCAGGCUGGUCUUGAACACCUGGCCUCAAGUGAUCCUCCGGCCUUGGUCUCUCAAAGCUCUGGGAUUACAGACAUGAGCCACUGCACCCGGCUCUAUCUCCCCUUCCUAUGUGUGUUAGCUCUAGAACAAGAGAAGCCUUGUUGAGAUUCCUGGCUGCCCACCCCCCAUCACCUCUCUGACUUUGGGCAAGUUGCCUGGCCUCUCUCAGCCUUUAUUUUCUUUUUGUGAAAUGGGGAUAAUAAUAGUACUUGCCUCAUAGGCAAAAUGUUGUGAGAACUAAACGAGAAAAUGCAUGUAAAGCACUUGGCACUUAGUUCUUUUUAUGAUUAUAAUGAUAAUCAGACACAAUAAAUUAUGUCUCACAUCA
rnacentral:lncRNA from 1 species